rnacentral:rRNA from 1 species
AGAGCGAACGCUGGCGGCAGGCUUAACACAUGCAAGUCGAGCGGGCGUAGCAAUACGUCAGCGGCAGACGGGUGAGUAACGCGUGGGAACAUACCUUUUGGUUCGGAACAACACAGGGAAACUUGUGCUAAUACCGGAUAAGCCCUUACGGGGAAAGAUUUAUCGCCGAAAGAUUGGCCCGCGUCUGAUUAGCUAGUUGGUGAGGUAAUGGCUCACCAAGGCGACGAUCAGUAGCUGGUCUGAGAGGAUGAUCAGCCACAUUGGGACUGAGACACGGCCCAAAACUCCUACGGGAGGCAGCAGUGGGGAAUAUUGGACAAUGGGCGCAAGCCUGAUCCAGCCAUGCCGCGUGAGUGAUGAAGGCCCUAGGGUUGUAAAGUCUCUUUUGUGCGGGAAGAUAAUGACGGUACCGCAAGAAUAAGCCCGGCUAACUUCGUGCCAGCAGCCGC